rnacentral:rRNA from 1 species
UACGUAGGGGGCAAGCGUUGUCCGGAAUCAUUGGGCGUAAAGCGCGUGUAGGCGGCCAGAUAGGUCCGCUGUGAAAUCUCGAGGCUCAACCUCGAGCUGUCGGUGGAAACUGUCUGGCUAGAGUCCGGAAGAGGAGAAUGGAAUUCCUGGUGUAGCGGUGAAAUGCGCAGAUAUCAGGAAGAACACCCGUGGCGAAGGCGGUUCUCUGGGACGGUACUGACGCUGAGACGCGAAAGCGUGGGGAGCGAACAGG